rnacentral:lncRNA from 1 species
GUUCCCGGCUCCCGGCAAGGACCUACCGCGCCGUCCCGCGGCUCCCGCAGGCCGUAUAGCCGCGCGGGGGAGGCACUGUCCCCGUGAGGCGCAUCUGAUGGCUGGAACCGGAGCGUGACCCCCUGGUGCCCACCUCCGUCCCGCAACCUCCACCGAAGGUUGCCCAAGUUACUGCCUUGUUGAGAAAAGCCUGAGAGAUCAGCAGUAACUUGCCCAAGGCCACACAGCCGAGGCGCAAACGAGUAAUGGGGUCCAGGAUUCCACUCUGCAGCCUCCACUCCCUGUGCCCCGGGACUGGGAGGAUAAACUGGAUUUCCAUGAAGUUCCUGACCUGGCUGUUAGAGACCUGGCCCUUUUCCAAGGCACAGCAGUGUCAGUACUUUCCUCUGAGACCCAGGAUCCUCACUGGCAGAAUUUCCGUCAACGGCUCCCUAAGAGAACACGGUUUGUAAGCGCCUAGGAUGCCCUACGUUGACACCGCGCUUCGUUCUUCCUCUAACACGUCUGCGCCCAUCUCAGGAUCUCUACCCACGCUUUUCUCUAUGAAUAAAGCAAGCUCCCUUUCCCCUUA